CGAGGGGCAGCAUUUUAGUUUGCUUGCAACUGAAGAUGGCGACCGGCGCACGGGUGAGUAACACGUAUCCAACCUGCCGAUAACUCCGGAAUAGCCUUUCGAAAGAAAGAUUAAUACCGGAUAGUAUACGAAUAUCGCAUGAUAUUUUUAUUAAAGAAUUUCGGUUAUCGAUGGGGAUGCGUUCCAUUAGUUUGUUGGCGGGGUAACGGCCCACCAAGACUACGAUGGAUAGGGGUUCUGAGAGGAAGGUCCCCCACAUUGGAACUGAGACACGGUCCAAACUCCUACGGGAGGCAGCAGUGAGGAAUAUUGGUCAAUGGGCGCGAGCCUGAACCAGCCAAGUAGCGUGAAGGAUGAAGGCUCUAUGGGUCGUAAACUUCUUUUAUAUGGGAAUAAAGUUUUCCACGUGUGGAAUUUUGUAUGUACCAUAUGAAUAAGGAUCGGCUAACUCCGUGCCAGCAGCCGCGGUAAUACGGAGGAUCCGAGCGUUAUCCGGAUUUAUUGGGUUUAAAGGGAGCGUAGGUGGAUUGUUAAGUCAGUUGUGAAAGUUUGCGGCUCAACCGUAAAAUUGCAGUUGAAACUGGCAGUCUUGAGUACAGUAGAGGUGGGCGGAAUUCGUGGUGUAGCGGUGAAAUGCUUAGAUAUCACGAAGAACUCCGAUUGCGAAGGCAGCUCACUAGACUGUUACUGACACUGAUGCUCGAAAGUGUGGGUAUCAAACAGGAUUAGAUACCCUGGUAGUCCACACAGUAAACGAUGAAUACUCGCUGUUUGCGAUAUACAGUAAGCGGCCAAGCGAAAGCAUUAAGUAUUC
rnacentral:rRNA from 1 species